rnacentral:rRNA from 1 species
AUUGAACGCUGGCGGCAGGCCUAACACAUGCAAGUCGAGCGAAUGAAGGGAGCUUGCUUCUGGAUUCCGCGUCGGACGGGUGAGUAAUGCCUAGGAAUCUGCCUGGUAGUGGGGGAUAACGUCCUCAAACGGGCGCUAAUACCGCCUACGUCCUGCGGGAGCAAGUUGGGGAUCUUCGGACCUCACGCUAUCAGAUGAGCCUAGGUGGGAUUAGCUAGUUGGUUGGGUAAAGGCCUACCAAGGCGACGAUCCGUAACUGGUCUGAGAGGAUGAUCAGUCACACUGGAACUGAGACACGGUCCAGACUCCUAAGGGAGGCAGCAGUGGGGAAUAAUGGACAAUGGGCGAAAGCAUGAUACAGCGAGGCCGAGUGUGUGAAGAAGGUCUUCGGAUUGUAAAGCACUUUAAGUUGGGAGAAAGGGCAGUAAGUUAAUACCUUGCUGUUCUGACGUUACCAACAGAAUAAGCACCGGCUAACUUCGUG